rnacentral:lncRNA from 1 species
CCCAUAACCCUGAUGCCCAACACCUCCCUCUUCCAAAAAGAGUAAUAAUUUUUUUUUGUUUUUUUUUUAAAUCUUACUACCUCCACCGCACCCAUCCACCCCCCCUCCACACACACACCUACCUUGUCCCUAAUUUUUUUUUAAACCUUUUAACUUUUAUUUUUUUCAAAAAAAUUAUUUUUUCUACCCCUAUCCCAAACGUCACCUAC